GAUGAACGCUGGCGGCGUGCCUAAUACAUGCAAGUCGAGCGAACGGACGAGAAGCUUGCUUCUCUGAUGUUAGCGGCGGACGGGUGAGUAACACGUGGAUAACCUACCUAUAAGACUGGGAUAACUUCGGGAAACCGGAGCUAAUACCGGAUAAUAUUUUGAACCGCAUGGUUCAAAAGUGAAAGACGGCCUUGCUGUCACUUAUAGAUGGAUCCGCGCUGCAUUAGCUAGUUGGUAAGGUAACGGCUUACCAAGGCAACGAUGCAUAGCCGACCUGAGAGGGUGAUCGGCCACACUGGAACUGAGACACGGUCCAGACUCCUACGGGAGGCAGCAGUAGGGAAUCUUCCGCAAUGGGCGAAAGCCUGACGGAGCAACGCCGCGUGAGUGAUGAAGGUCUUCGGAUCGUAAAACUCUGUUAUUAGGGAAGAACAUAUGUGUAAGUACCUGUGCACAUCUUGACGGUACCUAAUCAGAAAGCCACGGCUAACUACGUG
rnacentral:rRNA from 1 species